rnacentral:rRNA from 1 species
AACGAACGCUGGCGGCAGGCUUAAUACAUGCAAGUCGAACGGGCGCAGCAAUGCGUCAGUGGCAGACGGGUGAGUAACACGUGGGAACCUUCCUCGUUGUACGGAACAACUCAGGGAAACUUGAGCUAAUACCGUAUAAGUCCGAGAGGAGAAAGAUUUAUCGCAAUGAGACGGGCCCGCGUCGGAUUAGGUAGUUGGUGAGGUAACGGCUCACCAAGCCAACGAUCCGUAGCUGAUCUGAGAGGAUGAUCAGCCACACUGGGACUGAGACACGGCCCAGACUCCUACGGGAGGCAGCAGUAGGGAAGUCUUGGACAAUGGGCGCAAGCUGAUCCAGCCAUGCCGCGUGAG